GAUGAACGCUAGCGGCAGGCCUAAUACAUGCAAGUCGGACGGGAUUCAGGAGCUUGCUUCUGAUGAGAGUGGCGCACGGGUGCGUAACACGUAUGUAACCUACCUUUAUCAGGGGGAUAGCCUCUCGAAAGAGAGAUUAAGCCCGCAUAAAAUCACAGCACAGCAUUGUGUAAUGAUCAAAUAUUUAUAGGAUAAAGAUGGGCAUGCGGAACAUUAGCUAGAUGGCGGGGUAACGGCCCACCAUGGCGACGAUGUUUAGGGGAUCUGAGAGGAGGGCCCCCCACACUGGUACUGAGACACGGACCAGACUCCUACGGGAGGCAGCAGUAAGGAAUAUUGGUCAAUGGGCGGAAGCCUGAACCAGCCAUGCCGCGUGCAGGAAGACGGCCCUACGGGUUGUAAACUGCUUUUAUACGGGAAUAAAUCCAGAUACGUGUAUCUGGCUGAAUGUACUGUAAGAAUAAGGAUCGGCUAACUCCGUG
rnacentral:rRNA from 1 species